rnacentral:misc_RNA from 1 species
AUGAAGAACGUAGCGAAAUGCGAUACGUAAUGUGAAUUGCAGAAUUCAGUGAAUCAUCGAAUCUUUGAACGCUUAUUGCGCUCUUUGGUAUUCCGAAGAGCAUGCUUGUUUGAGUAUCAGUAAACACCUCAAAAGAUUUUCAUUUUUGAAAUGAUUUUGGACUUGAGCAAUCCCAACACCAGUCUUCACGGAUCGGCGGAGGGUUGCUUGAAAUGCAGGUGCAGCUGGACAUUCUCCUGAGCUAAAAGCAUAUCUAUUUAGUCCCGUCAAACGGAUUAUUACUUUUGCUGCAGCUAACAUAAAGGGAGUUUGACCAUUUUGGCUGACUGAUGCAGGAUUUCACAAGGGUCGGUAAAACGAUUUUUGUAAAACUCGAUCUCAAAUCAAGUAAGACUACCCGCUGAACUUAAGCAUAUCAAUAAGCGGAGGA